GGACGCUUAGUUAAAUCUGAACCCCAGAUAAACAACAAAUAAUUCCUUAGCAUAAGUAAAUCCCAAGCAUGCACGGGACAUACUUAUGCUAAAAUGCAACUAAUUUAUUGGU
rnacentral:miRNA from 1 species